rnacentral:rRNA from 1 species
AGUGCCUACGGGGGGCAGCAGUCGCGAAACCUUUACAAUGCGCGAAAGCGCGAUAGGGGGAUUUCGAGUGCCGGCUUUGCCGGCUUUUGCCAAACCUAAAAAGCUUGGCGAAUAAAUGGGGGGUAAGAUACGUGCCAGCCGCCGCGGUAAUACGUACUCCACAAGUGGUAUCCACUAAUAUUGGGCUUAAAGCGUUUGUAGCCUGUUUUGUAAGUCCUCGGUGAAAGCAAACAGCUUAACUGUUUGAAUUGCCAAGGAUACUGCAAGGCUAGAGGGAGGGAGACGUCAAGGGAAUUUCCGGGGUAACGGUGAAAUGUUGUGAUCCUGGAAAGACCACCAGUAGCGAAGGCGCUUGACGAGAACUAUCCUGACGGUGAGAGACGAAAGCUGGGGGAGCGACCCGGAUUAGAUACCCUUGUAGUC